GCUACGGGGCGCAGCAGUGAGGAAUAUUGGCCAAUGGACGCAAGUCUGAACCAGCCAUGCCGCGUGCAGGAAGACGGCUCUAUGAGUUGUAAACUGCUUUUGUACGAGGGUAAACGCAGAUACGCGUAUCUGUCUGAAAGUAUCGUACGAAUAAGGAUCGGCUAACUCCGUGGCAGCAGCCGCGGUAAUACGGAGGAUUCAAGCGUUAUCCGGAUUUAUGGGGUUUAAAGGGUGCGUAGGCGGUCGGAUAAGUUAGAGGUGAAAUCCCGAGGCUCAACUUCGGAAUUGCCUCUGAUACUGUUCGGCUAGAGAGUAGUGGCGGUAGGCGGAAUGUAUGGUGUAGCGGUGAAAUGCUUAGAGAUCCUACAGAACACCGAGUGCGAAGGCAGCUUACCAAGCUACUUCUGACGUUGAGGCACGAAAGCGUGGGGAGCAAACAGGAUUAGAUACCCUUGUAGUC
rnacentral:rRNA from 1 species